rnacentral:rRNA from 1 species
AACGAACGCUGGCGGCAUGCCUAACACAUGCAAGUCGAACGAAGGCUUCGGCCUUAGUGGCGCACGGGUGCGUAACGCGUGGGAAUCUGCCCUUGGGUUCGGAAUAACUCAGAGAAAUUUGAGCUAAUACCGGAUGAUGACGUAAGUCCAAAGAUUUAUCGCCCAAGGAUGAGCCCGCGUAAGAUUAGCUAGUUGGUGGGGUAAAGGCCUACCAAGGCGACGAUCUUUAGCUGGUCUGAGAGGAUGAUCAGCCACACUGGGACUGAGACACGGCCCAGACUCCUACGGGAGGCAGCAGUGGGGAAUAUUGGACAAUGGGCGAAAGCCUGAUCCAGCAAUGCCGCGUGAGUGAUGAAGGCCUUAGGGUUGUAAAGCUCUCUUACCAGGGAUGAUAAUGACAGUACCUGGAGAAUAAGCUCCGGCUAACUCCGUG